rnacentral:tRNA from 1 species
UAGAAUAUAGUGUAAUUUGGGUAGCACGGAGAGUUUUGAGUUCUCAGGAUUAGGUUCGAGUCCUAUGAUUCUAG